AGAUGUGAGGGUGAUCUGGCUGCAACAUCUGUCACCCCAUUGAUUGCCAGGGUUGAUUUGGCUGAUCUGGCUGGCUAGGUUGGUGUCACCUUCUUCCCUCAAUAAUCCAUAUACAUCCCUCCUGAAACUAUGUGCUCAGUCAAAAAGGAUGACCACCCUUAAUAGAGGAAGACUGUUCCUCAGUCAAGAGUAUACAAGUAGCUGCACUCUAAUGCUAGAACCUCCAAACAAGCUCUUAAGAAACACCUUACUUUCCAUAUUCUCUUU
rnacentral:sRNA from 1 species